rnacentral:lncRNA from 1 species
UUCAUUGUGGAAGUUUUCCUUCAAGCAGAAACUUUUGUGCUGAAAACAGAGAUUUACAUUUCUGGUAUACCACAAUCUUCAAAAUGUUUCAUUGCAAUUACAGAUUUGAUUUAAACUAUAUGAUGAUUUAAUAUUGCAAAAAGAGGGGGGAAGGUAAAAGGUUUGUUUUGACAUUUGAGACCUUCAGAGAAAUUUUAUGCAGGUACAGCUUGAGGCAUUUUGCUGGUUUUUAUUCCUUUUAUAGCUGCAAGCAAGACAAUGGUAAAUGAGAUAACUUGUUGUGAUUGGAUAUUGUGAAAAAUGUUAAGUAUAUAAAAGCAAGCAUUCUUGCCUUCAGCGUAAUCUUUGGCUCCAAAAACAGCAGAACCAGCAACAAGAGCAUUAGCCCCGGCUUCAAUAACCUGUGUGAAAAGUAUGAGUUUAUACGUAAUUCUUUGUGUAUAAUUAAUUGACCAUGAAUCCUAAAUUACGUUUCCCAUUAAUUUUGAUUCAAAAACCUGUUUACAAAUAGAUUUGUGGAAAAUUACUUUGUAUGCAUUUGAAGGAGUGACUCCACCAUCUACUUCAAUCCAUGGAUUCACACCCUGGAUAUAAAUA